rnacentral:rRNA from 1 species
UGGGGGAUAUUGCACAAUGGGGGAAUCCCUGAUGCAGCAACGCCGCGUGAAGGAUGAAGGUUUUCGGAUUGUAAACUUCUUUGACGAGGGACGAAAAAUGACGGUACCUCGAAAACAAGCCACGGCUAACUACGUGCCAGCAGCCGCGGUAAUACGUAGGUGGCAAGCGUUGUCCGGAAUUACUGGGUGUAAAGGGCGUGUAGGCGGGACUGUAAGUCAGAUGUGAAAUCCCGGGGCUUAACCCCGGGGCUGCAUUUGAAACUGCGGUUCU